GUCACCAACAAAACGUUCUGUAGAUGUAGAUAUAUUCCCUGCAAAGCCUUCCCAGCGGGCAAAGCUGGAUAAAAGGACGUCAACACAACUAGUAUUGAUCAUUGGACUAUGCCUACCGGCAUCAAUCUGAAACAGUGAGGCAGAAUGAUGCAUGUUGACGCAUGGUGUUAUCUGGGUUCCCAAGUAAUAUGUCAGCUGGACUAUCUAUCCCCAUGAUACUUCUGAGAUAUAUAUCCUAUGAGCAAAGCAACUAACACUUUGAUGCAGGCACCAUGCUGAGGGACCAACGAGUUUUCUCUAUAUGUGUGAGUCAUGUUGACAGUGCAUCAGACUGUGUUUGCCUCUGGUUGGAGUCAGAUGAAAUGCAGCAGCAAUUACAGCGAUGAUUUGUGGGGUUGAAUCGGGAUUAUCAUUGAGAUCACGAUUUGGAGUUGAACUCAAAUUGAAUGCAAGGUCAGAAAUGGAAUGGAAUUGGGACUCGGGGAUCUCUGCUUAGGCUCCUAGUUCAUCCUUUUCUCAAGACGUCUUCGUAAUUCGAAAGUUUGCGUGUCCAUUGCAAACUCCAUAGCCUGUGAAAGUUAUUUCAAAGGGACAAAAACAAUAUAGAAACAACAAGGUGAGGUCAGGAACAGGUGUGAGAUCAGCCAGGCAAGGUGAGGUCAGGAACAGGUGUGAGAUCAGCCAGGCAAGGUGAGGUCAGGAACAGGUGUGAGAUCAGCCAGGCAAGGUGAGGUCAGGAACAGGUGUGAGAUCAGCCAGGCAAGGUGAGGUCAGGAACAGGUGUGAGAUCAGCCAGGCAAGGUGAGGUCAGGAACAGGUGUGAGAUCAGCCAGGCAAGGUGAGGUCAGGAACAGGUGUGAGAUCAGCCAGGCAAGGUGAGGUCAGGAACAGGUGUGAGAUCAGCCAGGCAAGGUGAGGUCAGGAACAGGUGUGAGAUCAGCCAGGCAAGGUGAGGUCAGGAACAGGUGUGAGAUCAGCCAGGCAAGGUGAGGUCAGGAACAGGUGUGAGAUCAGCCAGGCAAGGUGAGGUCAGGAACAGGUGUGAGAUCAGCCAGGCAAGGUGAGGUCAGGAACAGGUGUGAGAUCAGCCAGGCUGAGGUGCUUAGCUGUGAUCUCUCUUUCUCCCCUGGAAGCUGUUUGUCUCUCUCUCUCUCCCCAUCUCUCUCUCUCUCUCUCUUCAUGCAUCAGGGAGCUUGUGCUGUGAGAGGUGUGAUGACUGACAUAUUGAUUGACUGACUGGUAACUGUUGCUCAGAACCAUUCAUGUUGAUGAUCAUGAUUAUAAGAGUGAUGAUGCGAAUGAAGACACAUCCUCAGUCUAAUAAUGAUAGUGAUUAAUUGUACCCCUUCAAGCCUUUUGAUGAUAUAUAUUCCACAACUGGUUGUGAAGCCACUAAUUGUUUGUUUUUUGUUCAGUGUUUAUAGCAUAGGGUAUCGCUCAAUAAACUUUCAUCGGUAUAGUAUACCUCCAUGUCAGUAACAGUAUCCGAUAAAAUACAUGUGGAUGUCUAGUGGGUUAGCAGGUUAGAGGCUUACAACCUAUAGCAUAAUCAUUUUCUUCGGGUUUUUAAUUUGGCUAUGCAAAUGAGGACAUCAAGGAGCACAAAUUGCGUUGCUACUGGGAAUUGACUACCAACCCCAAUCACAAACAUAUUUCAUAAUCUCUGAAGUAGUUUGUAUUUUAUGAAGCAUGGAUUUGUGUGUCACACUUGGAGGAGUAUGACAGUGUUCCUCCAGUUGAACCUGGUUGAGAAAGACACUGAUGUGUUGUACUCCAGAGAGAAAGUGUGACAAAAUGCAGGAACAUUGGUUGCUAGAGAAACAAUAGAGGGGGGAUAAAACUGGUUGCCGUAGUGAUAAGAGGUCAAAAUUGAACCACAACCAUGACGCUACCUUAGGGGACACGACACACAAUCACGUUGCUGAGUGUGGCAUGGGAGUAGCAGCACAGCAGUGUGCGUGUGCGCCUGCGUGUGUGUGCGCGAGCGCUUGCAUCAUGCCUCUUGUGAGCCAUACUGUAUUUUAAUGUCACAGCAGAUGUUGAUUCCCGUAGAAUGACGUGCCAGCUGUUCGCCAUACGUUAUCUGAAACAAAAGAGAGUGUGGGGAUGGUGACUGUGGAAGGUAGAACGAGGAAAAAGACAGAGGGGUGGAGAGAGGUAGAUGGAGGGAAGGAAAGAGAGAGGGGUAAGAGGGAGGGGUAAGAGAGAGGUACGGCUCGAGAGAGGAAAGGUGGAAACAGAGGUAGAGAUAUAGAAAGAGGUGAGAGCGAGAGGUAGAUCAAAACAGAGAUAGGUAGAACGAGAGAAAGAUAGUUUUUGUGCUGUGCCGUGUGUGACUGACUAGAUUAAGGAGAGUCAUUAAUGAGUGGAUGGAAAGGCAUCUCAUAUUCAUCUCAUUCCUUUCCAUGGAUACCCUUCGCUGCCCCCGCUUCCAGCAGCCCAGCCAUCCAGCAGCCAUCCACACCCCAGCUCCAUGGAUGGAUGAAGAACCAAAUGAAAAGAGACGUGUACAGUAGAGCAAAUAUUACAGCAUAGAUUUCCUUCUAACACAAGACCAUUGCAUAAUUUGGGGUAUUUUACAACCAUUACUCGUUGCUCUGUAAUAUUUUGUCCACUGGACCCCAUCUUUCUCUUGGUGUAAAUGUAAUGUGCAUGUAUGGAUAUUUGGUAGCCUGCUACAGGGUCUGUGUGUGCUGUAUAGUCAACUCCUAUAGUCGCAUAACAGCACAUAUACAGCACAAACAGAUCUGGGACCUGGCGAGAUAUUUGGGAUGCCUACAGAAUGACAGAAACUAUAAGACUUCCUGUGAGAGGUGAACAAGAUACCUGCUUGGACAGAAAAGAUGAAUAAACAAUUUGGUUCGGUCACCAUUAAGGGAUUCAACCAGCCGACUAAUUUGGCAGUUAAAAUGCUGGCGUCAACUGAACACGGAACCCAACGGCUUGUUUUUAUGUCCUCCUAUUUCCUCCUGCGAAAAGCUUUAAGGAGUUUGUGGUGUCACAUAUUUUGCAUUCUGUAUUUUAGACGUUUGUUUUCUAUUGAAGCGGUGUGACUUUGUUCUUUGACUCGAUAAGGUAUGAUGAUUUCUCACCCUUUCUUUCUUACUGGCUCUGUGGGGAAUAUCAAGUAAUUGCUUCAGUUUAUAAUUCUUAAGCAUUGCAUUGGAGUCUCUCUUUAAAGAGCAGAGCCUCGUGUAUGGUUUUGACUUACAGAUUGGACAAUUAUCCGCUCAGUCGGGCGUUGAUAUAAUCAGCGGGUUGUAUAUUAAAAAUAAACUUACUUGAAUUUG